UGACAAGAUUUAACGGCCGCGGUACCCUAACCGUGCGAAGGUAGCACAAUCACUUGUUCUUUAAAUGAGGACCAGUAUCAAUGGCAUCACGAGGAUCUUACUGUCUCCCUCCCCCAAUCAGUGAAACUGAUCUCUCCGUGAAGAAGCGGGGAUAUUUUUAUAAGACGAGAAGACCCCAUGGAGCUUUAAACCCGAUGACACCCACUUAUUCUAUGCCCUGACACACCCUCUGGUUAUUGAUCAUUCGGCUUUAGGUUGGGGUGACCACGGAGUACAAAACAACCUCCAUGAAAAAAGGAAAAUAACCCUCAUCAAAGAACAACCCUUCUAAGAACUAACAAAUUAAUUUUUAAUGAUCCGACAUUCGAUCAACGAACCAAGUUACCCUGGGGAUAACAGCGCAAUCCACCUCAAGAGCCCCUAUCGACAGGUGGGUUUACGACCUCGAUGUUGGAUCAGGGUGCCCCAGUGGUGCAGCAGCUACUAAAGGUUCGUUUGUUCAACGAUCAAAACCCU
rnacentral:rRNA from 1 species